GUGAAAGGUUCCCUAGAGGAAAAGACGCAGCAACUGAAGUCUUCCUCAUGAGAGUGAGAACUUACUCACCUGGAUAGUUCCCUGUCCUGCUAGUGUUCUGCCAGGGAGUGUCAUCCACAGCAGAUUGCUUCUGAUCAUCAGAAACAAGCAUAUCCAGGUUCCUAAACCAAGUGUAACACAGGAGUUGGACCUGGGGGCACAGCCAACAGCAGCAUCAGGAGUAGGAAUGUGUCAUCACUGGAGAAGACUGAGGUAGAAGACGCUGCAAUUAAGCAAAUGUCAUGAAGCCAAACAUGAGAUUCUGAAAAGUCAUGACUGGAAUUAUU
rnacentral:lncRNA from 1 species